GGAAUUCGAUUUAGAGUUUGAUCAUGGCUCAGGAUGAACGCUAGCGGCAGGCCUAACACCAUGCAAGUCGAGGGGGCAGCACAAAGAUAGUUUACUAUUUUUGGUGGCGACCGGCGCACGGGUGAGUAACGCGUAUGCAACCUACCUUAUACAGGAGUAUAGCCCGAAGAAAUUCGGAUUAAUCCUCCAUAGUAUUUUCUAAUGGCAUCAUUUGGAAAAUUAAAGCUUCGGCGGUAUAAGAUGGGCAUGCGUCCUAUUAGCUAGAUGGUAAGGUAAUGGCUUACCAUGGCAACGAUAGGUAGGGGGCCUGAGAGGGUGACCCCCCACACUGGUACUGAGACACGGACCAGACUCCUACGGGAGGCAGCAGUGAGGAAUAUUGGGCAAUGGAGGCAACUCUGACCCAGCCAUGCCGCGUGCAGGAAGAAUGCCCUAUGGGUUGUAAACUGCUUUUAUUUAGGAAUAAACCCUUCUACGUGUAGAAGGCUGAAUGUACUAAACGAAUAAGCACCGGCUAACUCCGUGCCAGCAGCCGCGGUAAUACGGAGGGUGCAAGCGUUAUCCGGAAUCAUUGGGUUUAAAGGGUCCGCAGGCGGACGUAUAAGUCAGUGGUGAAAUCCUGCAGCUUAACUGCAGAACUGCCAUUGAUACUGUACGUCUUGAAUUCGGUCGAAGUGGGCGGAAUGUGUAGUGUAGCGGUGAAAUGCAUAGAUAUUACACAGAACACCGAUAGCGAAGGCAGCUCACUAGGCCUGGAUUGACGCUCAGGGACGAAAGCGUGGGGAUCAAACAGGAUUAGAUACCCUGGUAGUCCACGCUGUAAACGAUGAUUACUCGUUUUCGGCGAUAUACAGUCGGAGACUAAGCGAAAGUGAUAAGU
rnacentral:rRNA from 1 species